rnacentral:rRNA from 1 species
AUUGAACGCUGGCGGAAUGCUUUACACAUGCAAGUCGAACGGCAGCACGGACUUCGGUCUGGUGGCGAGUGGCGAACGGGUGAGUAAUACAUCGGAACGUGCCCAGUCGUGGGGGAUAACGUAGCGAAAGCUACGCUAAUACCGCAUACGAUCUAAGGAUGAAAGCGGGGGAUCGCAAGACCUCGCGCGAUUGGAGCGGCCGAUGGCAGAUUAGGUAGUUGGUAGGGUAAAGGCAGACCAAGCCGACGAUCUGUAGCUGGUCUGAGAGGAUGGUCAGCCACACUGGGACUGAGACACGGCCCAGACUCCUACGGGAGGCAGCAGUGGGGAAUUUUGGACGAUGGGCGCAAGCCUGAUCCAGCCAGUCCGCGUGCAGGAUGAAGGCCUUCGGGUUGUAAACUGCUUUUGUACAGAACGAAAAGGCUCUGGUUAAUACCCGGGGCUCAUGACGGUACUGUAAGAAUAAGCACCGGCUAACUACGUGCCAGCCGCCGCCGUAA